ensembl:lncRNA
ACUCAUAGCCCUGUGCGCUUAAUUCUCCAUGCCUGUGCAUCAGCAUUGCAGUAGACUUUUCCAUAUGCUCCUUCCAAUCUGAACAACAGCAUGGAUUGUUAUUUCCAACCUACAGAGGAAAGAACCGAGGCUCAGAGAAGUGAACUAAGUUGCCCAGAACGUAUUGCCGAUAAGUGGAUGAACCCGAUUAUUUAUUUAUUUAAUGAACAUACUAAGUUAUGCAUUGAGCUACGGAGAGAACAAAGAUGAAUAAAAUGUGUUGGUUCUGGCCAAGAAGAAAUUCAGCGUAGGAACGGAAGAUGGCAAUUAUACAACAAUAUGGUAAGUGCAAUGACAGCCGUACAUGGGGCAUGAGGCUAAGUACCAAGAGGGGCAUCUAAUGCAGCUGGGAUGCGCAGGGUGGACUUCCUGGAGGAGGUGGUGUUUGAACUGCGGACGAUAAGCGGGAGGUAGUUCCGUGAAGAGAGGCCGUGGGGUGGGGCAGAACAUUCCAGAAAGCGGAGGCAGCACAAUCGAGGCGUGGAACUGCAAAACAGCAAGGCAGGUGGAACUAUUAACGAGUUCCAUGUUGCACUAAGGUUGGUCCAACUGGGCUUUAUCUAACUUCGAAAUGCAAGCCCUCUUCCGCUGCGCUGGACCUCCUUAACUGGUUCAUUUUGGAGGUCGUGGCUUGUAUGGUACUUCCUGGGGGCUUUGGGUGCCCAGUUUUUACUUUUAAAAGUCCCUUGUGUAAUUAACAGAGUGUGGGAGGCGUUUCCUGGCACUUCUCCACUGUGACUUCUCAGCAGGGCUUCGGGAGUACCAGGAGGUGGCCAUGCCAAAGGCUUUUGACUGAGGGAAAGUCAACCCACCGCCCAGGGUGCCAUGACUGCCCCACGGCAUCUCGGAAGAAGUAGGCCAAAGAUCAUCAGGAAACAGUGGCUUCUGGGUUCACUGCCGCAAAGCAAGCUAUGGGAGUUUAUGUUCAGUAGACCACAACCACCUGGACAAAUGAUAACUACAGGUGGGAGCCUGUGCUUGUUGACCUCCCGAAGUCCCUUCCAAAAUGGUAGGUCCAUGAAGGGGACAGAGUGCACCGUUCAGAAAGGCUGGAACUUCCCAACACCCACGGAGAGAGGGACAUUGAUGACAGCUUCUUUCAAGAGCCAGUUUCUUACAUUUGUAGGAGCAAAAGGGUGGUGACCGGGACCCUCAGAGGAGAGGAGGUGAUAUGCAAGAUGUGAGGGCGCAAGAGGAGAGAAAAUCCUGGGCGGAAGAGACGCUGGGCCUUCGCGAGCGUUGCACCUUCUGACUCCAAGGGGCCUUUCAACAAAAGUGUCUACAGCUCAGGUAAGCAGGGAGUUAAGGUUGGAGGAGAAUGGAAUUUUCCUUGUGGUCGUACAGACUUGUUUUAACCGCAGGAAUGAAUACAAGAUUCAACUUGUUUCCUCAGCUAUUGUCUGGAACUCUCUUUCCCUCCAGCCGCCGGCAGCUGGAGGUUUUAAUGUGACACUUGUCUAAGUAUUAUGAUUGCUCUCUGGCCUUCUCUUUAUAGGCUUUUUGCUUCUCUCCUUGCAGGCCCUCACCCCCCUGGCCUCUAAAUGCUUUCCAACGAGCAAGUGCUCCCCUUGCUGCCUACCAGCCAGGGGAGGACAUCUGGGCUUGGUUUAUUUACUUGUUAAAGACGCGCGUCUCCUCUCCUUCCUGGACCCCCACCCGGCAACUCCUCCUUGAAACCACAAACCACCACCUUCCCACUUCCCAAAUCCCAAAGCACAACGUGGAGACGUGUGCAGGACGCUAAGCUCAGUUCCUGUGCUGCUUGAACCAUCCUAACAAGUGUUUUUCAACAGCUUCAUCAACACAGGGAAAAGAUAGGCACGUUCGUUCUCAAUUAAUUAGCAUUGCCUGGUCCAAGUGUGGAAUGCCUUCCAAGCCCUCCUUAGAUCUUAUUCUACGGAUCUUGCUUUAGAUUUUCUAGUCCGUGUGUGCCUCCCUGUAAGAGUGCCUACCCAAACCCACACAUCUUCAUUCAUUCACCUUCAAUUGAAGGGGAGCUCAGAAAAGU